ensembl:misc_RNA
CUGACAGCCCCAAAGCCCAAGAUUCUCCCUCCCCAGAUCAGCUACAGCAGAGGCCAAAGCGGUGCAAGCUUUUCCCACACUGUCCCACCACUGUGCCUUACCCCUGACCUGCAGGCACCAACUGCAGGGGUAAGAAAUCCAUUGGGCAUUCAGUCCUUGGCCCCU